rnacentral:lncRNA from 1 species
ACAUCUUUGACUCUUCUAAGUGCUAUAAGAUAGAUUAUUAUUAUUUUUUAUAUAAAAUAAAAGAACCAUAUUGGGUUGUUGAUGAUAAAAUUAAAUAUUACAAGCAAAUAUAAAUAAAUUAAUUAAUAUAUUUAUAUAUAGAGAAAAAUUGGGAGUACUGCAGUUCUGCAGUGCCUAUGCAUGAACCACUCCUAUUAAAUAUACACAUCAGCCCCAAUUUAUGACAGCUUGACCUAUGCCCUUCUACAUUAUUUUUGUACAGUACAGUUUAAAAUACAAAAUUUAUGUCUACAGUUUGCAUUUAGCAUAUCAUAGAAUUCAUGCAUUAUCCCAAAACAGGAAAUGCACAGUACAUUUAAACUCAUUUGCCUUUGCAACUGUUAUUUGAAUGGAAUAGUAGUUCAUUUUGUAGUUAUCAUUACUUUUCAUUUUGUAAUUAUCAUUACUUUUCAUUUUGUAGUUAUUUUUAAUACAUUUUUUUUUAAUUAUUUUUGCCCUUUUAUAUAUGUAAGAGUUCUCAAAUAUCUUUUUUUCUGUUCUUUUCUUCCAUAUUGUAA